AACGAACGCUGGCGGCAUGCCUAACACAUGCAAGUCGAACGAGACCUUCGGGCCUAGUGGCGCACGGGUGCGUACCGCGUGGGAACCUGCCCUUAGGUUAGGAAUACCUCACCGUAGGGGAUGCUCAUAACGGUUAAUCUCAUAGGACAUAAGAUUUGUCGCCUGUGGGUGGGCUCGCGUUGGUUUAGGUUGUUGGUGGGGUAGUGGCCUACCAAGGCGUCGAUGGGUAGCUGGUCUGAGAGGAUGAUCGGCCACAUUGGGACUGAGAUACGGGCCAGACUCCUACGGGAGGCAGCAGUGGGGAAUAUUGCACAAUGGGCGGAAGCCUGAUGCAGCAACGCCGCGUGCGGGAUGACGGCCUUCGGGUUGUAAACCGCUUUCGCCUGUGACGAAGCGUGAGUGACGGUAAUGGGUAAAGAAGCACCGGCUAACUACGUG
rnacentral:rRNA from 1 species